GCAGUAGGGAAUCUUCGGCAAUGGGGGCAACCCUGACCGAGCAACGCCGCGUGAGUGAAGAAGGUUUUCGGAUCGUAAAGCUCUGUUGUAAGAGAAGAACGUGUGUGAGAGUGGAAAGUUCACACAGUGACGGUAACUUACCAGAAAGGGACGGCUAACUACGUGCCAGCAGCCGCGGUAAUACGUAGGUCCCGAGCGUUGUCCGGAUUUAUUGGGCGUAAAGCGAGCGCAGGCGGUUUAAUAAGUCUGAAGUUAAAGGCAGUGGCUUAACCAUUGUUCGCUUUGGAAACUGUUAAACUUGAGUGCAGAAGGGGAGAGUGGAAUUCCAUGUGUAGCGGUGAAAUGCGUAGAUAUAUGGAGGAACACCGGUGGCGAAAGCGGCUCUCUGGUCUGUAACUGACGCUGAGGCUCGAAAGCGUGGGGAGCAAACAGGAUUAGAUACCCUGGUAGUCCACGCCGUAAACGAUGAGUGCUAGGUGUUAGGCCCUUUCCGGG
rnacentral:rRNA from 1 species